rnacentral:rRNA from 1 species
UACGGAGGGGCUAGCGUUGUUCGGAAUUACUGGGCGUAAAGCGCACGUAGGCGGCUUUGUAAGUUAGAGGUGAAAGCCUGAUGCUCAACAUCAGAAUUGCCUUUAAGACUGCAUCGCUUGAACGUCGGAGAGGUGAGUGGAAUUCCGAGUGCAGAGGUGAAAUUCGUAGAUAUUCGGAAGAACACCAGUGGCGAAGGCGGCUCACUGGACGACUGUUGACGCUGAGGUGCGAAAGCCGUGGGGAGCAAACAGG